rnacentral:rRNA from 1 species
GGUUAAGCGACUAAGCGUACACGGUGGAUGCCCUGGCAGUCAGAGGCGAUGAAGGGCGUGCUAAUCUGCGAUAAGCGCCGGUAAGGUGAUAUGAACCGUUAUAACCGGCGAUACCCGAAUGGGGAAACCCAGUGUGACUCGUCACACUAUCAUUAACUGAAUCCAUAGGUUAAUGAGGCGAACCGGGGGAACUGAAACAUCUAAGUACCCCGAGGAAAAGAAAUCAACCGAGAUUCCCCCAGUAGCGGCGAGCGAACGGGGAGGAGCCCAGAGCCUGAAUCAGCAUGUGUGUUAGUGGAAGCGUCUGGAAAGGCGCGCGAUACAGGGUGACAGCCCCGUACACAAAAGCGCAUGUGCUGUGAGCUCGAUGAGUAGGGCGGGACACGUGGUAUCCUGUCUGAAUAUGGGGGGACCAUCCUCCAAGGCUAAAUACUCCUGACUGACCGAUAGUGAACCAGUACCGUGAGGGAAAGGCGAAAAGAACCCCGGCGAGGGGAGUGAAAAAGAACCUGAAACCGUGUACGUACAAGCAGUGGGAGCACCCUUUGGGGUGUGACUGCGUACCUUUUGUAUAAUGGGUCAGCGACUUAUAUUCUGUAGCAAGGUUAACCGAAUAGGGGAGCCGGAGGGAAACCGAGUCUUAAUUGGGCGUUAAGUUGCAGGGUAUAGACCCGAAACCCGGUGAUCUAGCCAUGGGCAGGUUGAAGGUUGGGUAACACUAACUGGAGGACCGAACCGACUAAUGUUGAAAAAUUAGCGGAUGACCUGUGGCUGGGGGUGAAAGGCCAAUCAAACCGGGAGAUAGCUGGUUCUCCCCGAAAGCUAUUUAGGUAGCGCCUCGUGAACUCAUCUCCGGGGGUAGAGCACUGUUUCGGCUAGGGGGCCAUCCCGGCUUACCAACCCGAUGCAAACUGCGAAUACCGGAGAAUGUUAUCACGGGAGACACACGGCGGGUGCUAACGUCCGUCGUGAAGAGGGAAACAACCCAGACCGCCAGCUAAGGUCCCAAAGUCAUGGUUAAGUGGGAAACGAUGUGGGAAGGCCCAGACAGCCAGGAUGUUGGCUUAGAAGCAGCCAUCAUUUAAAGAAAGCGUAAUAGCUCACUGGUCGAGUCGGCCUGCGCGGAAGAUGUAACGGGGCUAAACCAUGCACCGAAGCUGCGGCAGCGACACUGUGUGUUGUUGGGUAGGGGAGCGUUCUGUAAGCCUGUGAAGGUGGCCUGUGAGGGUUGCUGGAGGUAUCAGAAGUGCGAAUGCUGACAUAAGUAACGAUAAAGCGGGUGAAAAGCCCGCUCGCCGGAAGACCAAGGGUUCCUGUCCAACGUUAAUCGGGGCAGGGUGAGUCGACCCCUAAGGCGAGGCCGAAAGGCGUAGUCGAUGGGAAACGGGUUAAUAUUCCCGUACUUGGUGUUACUGCGAAGGGGGGACGGAGAAGGCUAUGUUGGCCGGGCGACGGUUGUCCCGGUUUAAGCGUGUAGGUGUGUGUUCCAGGUAAAUCCGGUUCACUUUAACACUGAGGCGUGACGACGAGGCACUACGGUGCUGAAGCAACAAAUGCCCUGCUUCCAGGAAAAGCCUCUAAGCAUCAGGUAACAUCAAAUCGUACCCCAAACCGACACAGGUGGUCAGGUAGAGAAUACCAAGGCGCUUGAGAGAACUCGGGUGAAGGAACUAGGCAAAAUGGUGCCGUAACU